rnacentral:snRNA from 1 species
AUUGUUACUCAGCCAUUUAGAUAAGAUCAAGUGUAGUAUCUGUUCUUAUCAGCUUAAUAUAGCUGAUAUUUUCCUUGGGCAAUAGAGGAUAAAUCAUCUAUUCAGGUACCCUUUUGUGUUUACUGUGUUGCACUAUUUGAACAUAGAUUCUUU